rnacentral:rRNA from 1 species
UUCCYCCCUAAUUUUACUCUAAAAGACCCMACCUACUCUUACGUAGCAAAUUAGGGGUAAUUUAAAGGAGGUACAGCUCCUUUAAAAAAGAACACAAUCUCCCCUASAGGAUAAGUACUUUAUACACACACCUGUAGGCCCUCAAGCAGCCAUCAACAAAGAGUGCGUCAAAGCUCUACCACAUAAAAAUCCAAAAACACAUACGACUCCCUCACCCACAGCAGGCUAACCUAUAGAAAUAGGAGAAUUAAUACUAGAAUAAGUAACUAAGGAACCUCCUUCUAAAGCACAAACUUACAUACCACAUUAUUAACAGACCCAUAUAUAUCAACUGUCCCAAGACAAAAUAUUAAAUGUAACUGUUAAGCCAACCCAGGUGUGCUAAACUAGAAAGAUUUAAACCUGUAAAAGGAAMUAGGCAAACCAAAGGCCCGACUGUUUACCAAAAACACAGCCUUCAGCCGACCAAGUAUUGAAGGUGAUGCCUGCCCAGUGACACAAAGUUCAACGGCCGCGGUAUCCUAACCGUGCAAAGGUAGCGCAAUCAAUUGUCCCAUAAAUYGAGACUUGUAUGAAUGGCCAAACGAGGUCUUAACUGUCUCUUACAGGUAAUCAGUGAAAUUGAUYUCCCCGUGCAAAAGCAGGGAUGAACCCAUAAGACGAGAAGACCCUGUGGAACUUAAAAACCAGCAGCCMCUWCAAACCAAAAUCAAAACCUACCAGGGUUACUACCAAAAAUAAUCUGGCCUGCAUUUUUCGGUUGGGGCGACCUUGGAGAAAAACAAAUCCUCCAAAUAUAAGACCACCCAUCUUAACCAAGAUCAACCACUMUAAGUACUAAUAGUAACCAGACCCAGCAUAGCUGAUYAAUGAACCAAGCUACCCCAGGGAUAACAGCGCAAUCCCCCUCAAGAGCUCGUAUCGACAGGGGGGUUUAC